AGUAAGUUGCUCUGUGAGCCUUUCUCAAGCAGAGGAUUCAAGUACUUCAUACUUCAUACCAGAACGACGACGACUUUGUACUCGGCUACUCGCUACUGAGUGAUCCUUCAGUCUUCCUUCUCUUCUUUUCACAGGUAGCUUUCCUAGCUUCCACAGGCAAAGCAAGAGAGUAGAAACAAAACUCCAAUUCAAAAACUCAAGCUCAAAGGAUGAAAAGAUUAUUAGGUCAACAAAUGGAGACAAGAUGGCCUUUUCGGAUUGUGAACUAAGCAACUACUGUUAUAGUCCAAAGUCAAGCACUUGAAUUUCCUACAAUUUGGGGCAGGGAUACUCAAGGCCCAAACUUUCACUUCUAACAGUGCUAUCCUGUAUUUUCAAAUUCCAGCGCUCUUGACGUUACUGUG